UUUUUUAAAGCGCCUGGACGUAAUAUAUACGUUGACGAGGAAGAAACUUAUCGAAAAAUUCGGCGGAUGGUUUCUUGGCAUUAGAUUACUGCCAUAAAUAUUAGUUAAAGCCUAAUAGUAAUAUUAGUAAACAAAGCUAAUAG
rnacentral:ncRNA from 1 species